CAGUCGCCACGGUAAUACGUAGGUGGCAAGCGUUGUCCGGAAUUACUGGGCGUAAAGGGCGUGUAGGCGGCUUUUUAAGUCAGACGUGAAAUCUCUGGGCUUAACCCAGAAACUGCGUUUGAAACUGGAGAACUUGAGGACCGGAGAGGGCAGUGGAAUUCCCAGUGUAGCGGUGAAAUGCGUAGAUAUUGGGAGGAACACCAGUGGCGAAGGCGACUGCCUGGACGGCACCUGACGCUGAGGCGCGAAAGCUAGGGGAGCAAACGGGAUUAGAUACCCGUGUAGUCCCUGUCUCUUAUAC
rnacentral:rRNA from 1 species